CCUACGGGUAGCAGCAGUGAGGAAUAUUGGUCAAUGGACGCAAGUCUGAACCAGCCAUGCCGCGUGCAGGAAGACGGCUCUAUGAGUUGUAAACUGCUUUUGUACGAGGGUAAACGCAGAUACGCGUAUCUGUCUGAAAGUAUCGUACGAAUAAGGAUCGGCUAACUCCGUGCCAGCAGCCGCGGUAAUACGGAGGAUUCAAGCGUUAUCCGGCUUUAUUGGGUUUAAAGGGUGCGGAGGCGGUCUGAUAAGUUAGAGGUGAAAUCCCGAGGCUCAACUUCGGAAUUGCCUCUGAUACUGGUCGGCUAGAGAGUAGGUGCGGUAGGCGGAAUGUAUGGUGUAGCGGUGAAAUGCUUAGAGAUCAUACAGAACACCGAUUGCGAAGGCAGCUUACCAAGCUACUACUGACGCUGAGGCACGAAAGUGCGGGUAUCGAACAGGAUUAGAUACCCCAGUAGUC
rnacentral:rRNA from 1 species